UACAAGAUGAAGAGUGGUACCAAGAA
rnacentral:piRNA from 1 species